rnacentral:rRNA from 1 species
ACAUUCACUUUAAAUAGGGCACCGUCUAAAUCCGUUGAGACGACACCGUAUGAAUUAUGGUUUGGGAAGAAACCUAAGCUGUCGUUUCUAAAAGUUUGGGGAUGCGAUGCUUAUGUCAAGAAACUUCAACCUGAAAAGCUCGAACCCAAGUCGGAAAAAUGCGUCUUCAUAGGAUACCCUAAGGAAACCAUUGGGUAUACCUUCUACCUUAGAUCUGAAGGCAAGAUCUUUGUUGCCAAGAACGGAUCCUUUCUGGAAAAAGAGUUUCUCUCGAAAGGAGUAAGUGGGAGGAAAGUAGAACUCGAUGAAGUACUACCUCUUGAACCGGAAAGUAGUGCAGCUCAGGAAAAUGUUCCUAUGGUGCCUACACCGAAUGGAGAGGAAAUUAAU